CGGUGCAUGGGGCCUGGCCCCACCAGCGGGCACUGGCCCAGAGCCACGGCCGGGGGGCCAUCUAGCUGGAGAGAGAAGGGACAGCAACUCCAUCCGCUCCUGCAACUGCCGGACGUGUGCCUCUAGGUCCCGGUUCCGAGCCUCUGCCUCGCGUAGUUGACUGUGGGGAGGUAAGGACAGAACAAAUCAUGAUUCCCACCUGCCUUUGCCCUUGAGGCUCUCGCCUGACCACCUGGUACCUUUCCUUCCGUGGCUGGUUUCUCCUUCACGAGCACUCAGCUCAAAGAUCAACUCCUCAGAUCCCCAGCCACACACACACCCUUACUUAAUGCCCCACUGUAACUACAGAGACCGUCUCAUGUCUGAAGUAA
rnacentral:antisense_RNA from 1 species